AGGCCCCUUUGUGUGACUAAAUUUGGCGAGAAUAUGGAUCCGAGCCAGUCUUUCCACGUGUGCUCCCAGCUCCCAGCUGAGAAGGCCAAGGGUUCUCUUCCGGAUGAAGCUUUUUGAAAUUUAUUAUUGGCCAAAAGGGGAACAUAGACCAAGGCACUGAGGAUUCUAUCUUGUUUUUUGGGAGCAGCAGGGAGGCUCUGAAAAUACUCAAGGAAAACCUGGGGCAUUCUAUUGAAGAAAAUAAACUCCCUGAAGGGGAGGCUUGGCCAAGGGAUUUACUUGUUUUUAUAAAUCUGUUUCCCCAGUGACUAUGGUAAUGGAGGUGUUUCUUGAAUUGUGGUAAAUGCACCUCGUAAAAUGGACGGCCUGGGCUGUAUUCUCAGGCUUCCUGGGCUCUGUCAGCGUUGGGCAAGCACCUAAUCCCUGGAUUGAGGCUGGAAGCCAAAGCCACAACCUUCUUGCCUAAAGGCAAGAGCAAGUACCAAUUGAGCCAUAUGGAGAUUAAUGCAGAACAAGGUCAUUAGUCUCAUUGUUUAUCCAGUUACUUGCAGCACAGAUCUGUGUAAGUUUCAGCUACGGGGCUUGCAGCCUGCCUUUGAUGUGUGUCAUCUGUAUGUUCUAGUGCUCCAGGAAAGUGCCUGACUGACAGGAUCCACAUCCAAUGCCCAGAAAACACAUCUUACACAAGUACAGUGAAGCGUGGAGCUGAACAAUUUUCCAGUAGUUUCAUCAAAGUAAAUAAACCAACCUGAAGGGUCAGGA